UGUGUGACCCGCCUGAAAACUAUGUUCUGUUAUCAGUAUUUUGUGCCGUCACAAUUCAGUUAGCAGCAUGCAUGUUCAAUUGUUGGUGUCUUUGUUAAGUUUGAGUAGAAAAGCUCAAUCUAGCAUGCUCUUGGCUCUGUUUUACUUUCCAUGAUUCGUUGAUUAUCUAUGCAGUUUCUGCACGAUUACUAUGAGUACGUGCUUUCAUAUAUUGUUUACUCGAUGACUUGAAUAGUUUACAACGUAUGAUUAUUGCUUAGGACCCUGCACUACUAAAUCAGGGGACUCGCUUGAGUCAGAAAAACUUAGGAACCAAGUUUUCUCUCUAAGUUACUGACUUCAUUUUCUACUGUUUAUAGAUUGCGAACUGUACUUAAAUCAAAUACUUCACUAUUGGUCUCUAGAGAGGAAGCUCUGCCAACCAUUACUAAUAACUGAGAAGGUAUGGAGACACCUUUGUUUUGCUGUAAUUUUAAACAAAUAAGUAUCCUGAUGAUAUUGAUGUUUUGGUAGAUCAUCCGAUAUUCUCUACUACUCUAUAUGACCAUAUGCACUUGACAUUCAGAAAAUUGGUUUGAGAUUCUCAAAAGUUGCAUUCUUGGCUCACUUAGUUACAUUCUCAAAAGUAGUGUUUUUAUUGUUUUGUUUUUACAUUCUGUCCACAUGUAUUCUACAUUUUAUAAACUAAUUUGUCUUUCAGCUAGGUCCUGGUGCUUCAAUUUGGUUAUUAGAUUUAAAAAAUCUUACAUAGAGUCGAUUGGUAAAGCCUUUCAUACUAACAACAGCCUUCUAUCACUUAUUUCAAUAACUUGUUUAAUAUUUUAUAUCACUUAUUUCAAUAACUGGUUAUUAUAUUCUCCAAAAAUAAUAAAUAGAAUUCAACAUCUUAGUCAGUUUGGUGAUAUAUAUCUGGAAGAAUAUUUUAUCAAAUAUCUGAAAUCUGGUAUUCAUGUUUGAGUAUUUGACAUGAAAAAAAUACUGUCAAUUUUACUGAGAAACAGAAUUGUUCACUUUAUAGGAUUUGGCAAUCGCUUAUCUUUGACUCAAUACCUUAUGACCUUGGAAAGGUUUGAACCCGUCAGGGACUAAAGAUGCCAAAGGUAUACUGUUUGCCUUCUCAUUCUACUAUGCUAUAAUAUUUCUCCUCUACUGUUUUUACCCUACGAACUGUGUUGCUCAUUUUAUUCUACACUACAUCUACUUAAACUCAAUUGUUCAGUGUCAUAGCUUUGCUGGAAGCCACAUGGCAUAUUACUUACAUGCCUUCUUAGAGUCUUUUAGUUAUUUCUGUAAUCUGUAUUUUAGGAAUCAUAAUUAAUGUUGUUUUAUAACAAUAAAUUUAUAUUGUUGUUUUUUAGUCAGAAAAAAAUGUUUGUCAUUUGGUCAAUUAGCUAGCGACAUGAUAUUAAGUGUUGUAGCGUGGUCAAGGGUUAGCUAUGUCUAUGUGCCAUGUGUUAAAAGUAUUAGGCUACAAAAAUCCGAAAUUUCUUGAUAAAAGCAAAAAAUAGUAGGACAAUUGAAAAUUUAAAUUAGUAUCGUUGUUACAAGUUUACCCAACUUUGAGUAUAAGAGAGCACAGUUCAGCCCCUCGUCUAUCACUUGUAUGUAAGGUGAACUGUUUUGUUUUUCUACAGCCCAACCAAUGUGCCUCUAAGCAUAUUCCCAACAGGUUAAAAAUAAAAUUAAACUGCAAAACACCCUUUUAAAUUCUUAUAGAUUUGCGACAUAUCGUGAAUGCAUUAGUCAGUGUGGUACCAGGCUUUAACAUAUUGAAAAACGUAUACAUAUUUUUCCCCUAGCACAUUUUGUACACAUGUUUGUCAGGUUGAAGAAGGGUCACGAGCAAAGAGGGCAUUUACUAUCCUUU
rnacentral:lncRNA from 1 species